rnacentral:rRNA from 1 species
UACGGAGGGUGCAAGCGUUGCUCGGAAUUACUGGGCGUAAAGCGCACGCAGGCGGCUGUUCAAGUCGGAUGUGAAAUCCCCGAGCUCAACUUGGGAACUGCAUUCGAAACUGGGCAGCUCGAGUACGUGAGAGGGAAGCGGAAUUCCUGGUGUAGAGGUGAAAUUCGUAGAUAUCAGGAGGAACACCGGUGGCGAAAGCGGCUUCCUGGCGCGUUACUGACGCUGAUGUGCGAAAGCGUGGGGAG